CACGAACGCUGGCGGCAGGCUUAACACAUGCAAGUCGAGCGCCCCGCAAGGGGAGCGGCAGACGGGUGAGUAACGCGUGGGAAUCUACCCAUCUCUACGGAAGAACGCAUGGAAACGUGUGUUAAUACCGUAUACGUCCUUCGGGAGAAAGGUUUAUCGGGGAUGGAUGAGCCCGCGUUGGAUUAGCUAGUUGGGGGGGUAAAGGCCUACCAAGGCGACGAUCCAUAGCUGGUCUGAGCGGAUGAUCAGCAACACUGGGAAUGAGACACGGCCACGGUUCGUCCGGGGGGCGACAGUGGGGAAUGUUGGACAAUGGGCGCAAGCCUAAUCCAGCCAUGCCGCGUGGGUGAUGAAGGCCCUAGGGUUGUAAAGCUCUUUCACCGGUCAAGGUGAUGCCGGUAACCGGAGAGGAAGCCCCGGCUAACUUCGUGCCAGCAGCCGCGGUAAUAC
rnacentral:rRNA from 1 species